AACGAACGCUGGCGGCAUGCCUAACACAUGCAAGUCGAACGAGACCUUCGGGGCUAGUGGCGCACGGGUGCGUAACGCGUGGGAACCUGCCCUUAGGUGCGGAAUAACUCCCCGAGAGGGGUGCUAAUACCGGAUAAUGUCUUCGGACCAAAGAUUUAUCGCCUUUGGAUGGGCCCGCGUUGGAUUAGCUAGUUGGUAGGGUAAAAGCCUACCAAGGCGACGAUCCAUAGCUGGUCUGAGAGGAUGAUCAGCCACACUGGGACUGAGACACGGCCCAGACUCCUACGGGAGGCAGCAGUGGGGAAUAUUGGACAAUGGGCGAAAGCCUGAUCCAGCAAUGCCGCGUGAGUGAUGAAGGCCUUAGGGUUGUAAAGCUCUUUUACCCGGGAUGAUAAUGACAGUACCGGGAGAAUAAGCUCCGGCUAACUCCGUG
rnacentral:rRNA from 1 species